AACAAGGUUUCCGUAGGUGAACCUGCGGAAGGAUCAUUAUUGAAUUU
rnacentral:rRNA from 1 species